CACUUUCAACUCCACUCUGCUUAGAAAGAAACGUCUCCAGGUAAAUGGAGACUCAAGACGAAUAUGGAGAAACCCUGGCUUGUUGAACUCUCUCUGGAAUGGUAACGAGUACGCGGAUGGCUUCUUUUUUUCCAGAGGCAUGCCGGUAUUAACACAUGAGAGGGCGUUUCUAGUAUCUGCAUCGUUCCUUGGGAAGAAUUUGAAGGAACCUUUUGAGGGUUUUGUUUCUGUUUAUUUGUUUUUAAGGGGAUCCCGUGUACUCCGGAAUGGUCUCGAAUUCACUCUGUGUAGUUGAACAUGACCUUGAACUUCUGGUCUUUCUCGCUUCCUCAUGUUUCCCUCUCCUGAGUGCUGAAAUUAAAAGCGUGUGUUGCCUUGCCUGGUUUACAUAGUGCUGGAGGUCAAACCCAGAGCACUCUAGGCAAGUAUCUGACCAAUUGAGCUACAUUUCCCAGCCCCGACAGCCAAUUUCAAUAUGGCAGCAAUCGCAGUGACCCUUUUAAAAUGAAAAUGACAUUGUAUCCCCUAUUUGCUCAAAACCCCAUAGCUCUUCCUGUUUUACCAAAUUGUCACAGUCCAUACAGGACCUAC
rnacentral:lncRNA from 1 species